GACGGAGGGGGCUAGCGUUGUUCGGAAUGACUGGGCGUAAAGGGCGCGUAGGCGGUUUAUUAAGUGAGGCGUGAAAGCCCUGGGCUUAACCCAGGAGGUGCGUUUCAUACUGGUAGACUUGAGUACGAGAGAGGAAAGCGGAAUUCCUAGUGUAGAGGUGAAAUUCGUAGAUAUUAGGAAGAACACCAGAGGCGAAGGCGGCUUUCUGGCUCGUAACUGACGCUGAGGCGCGAAAGCGUGGGGAGCAAACAGG
rnacentral:rRNA from 2 species